rnacentral:rRNA from 1 species
AUUGAACGCUGGCGGAAGGCCUAACACAUGCAAGUCGAGCGAGCAGCGGACGGGUGAGGAAUGUCUGGGAAACUGCCUGAUGGAGGGGGAUAACUACUGGAAACGGUAGCUACUACCGCAUACCAUCAGAUGGUCCCAGAUGGGAUUAGCUAGUAGGUGGGGUAAUGGCUCACCUAGGCGACGAUCCCUAGCUGGUCUGAGAGGAUGACCAGCCACACUGGAACUGAGAGACGGCCCAGACGCCUACGGGAGGCAGCAGUGGGGAAUAUGGCACAAUGGGGGCAAGCCUGAUUCAGCCAUGCCGCGUGUAUGAAGAAGGCCUUCGGGUUUUAAAGUACUUUCAGCGAGGAGGCGUUACUCGCAGAAGAAGGACCGACUAACUCCGUGCCAGCAGCCGCGGUAAUAC